AGUAGGAAGUAGAAUAAGAGGAAGAAGAAGAGGAAGUCGAUGAAGAAUCUGAGUAGUCUCGCUUGCGCGUUCUCUUAUGUUUCCUUUUCCGCUUAUGCUUCUUCUUCUUCUUCCUUUC
rnacentral:ribozyme from 12 species